UCCGCGAAACCAAAUAAAUAGAACAAAGAAACAACGUUGUUUGUUUCACAAUCUCUCAAUCUUUCUCUUCUGGUUUCUGAAUCUCAUUAAUCUUUGUCUGUGUUAUCAUUUGGUUUCUCAAUCUUGUGAUGGGUUCGGCAGAUUUUACCUCACCCCCACCUGCACCGAAACCAAAUAAGAAAAGGAACAUACAGUUUUUAGAUGAUGACACGAUCACACACUCACCUCCUAUCGAGCUUGUUGAGAGACGCUUGCAAUUCACUGAUGAUGAUCAUACUCCCUCGCCAAUCAGAAGACGCUUACAGUUAAUCGAUGAAAUUAUUGAGCUUGGUGAGAUGCGAUUAGAACUGUUUCGUCUCAUUAACAACACCCAAGAAGCCAUGGAUGCUGAGAGAAAGAGGAAAGUCGCAAUCUUGAUGUCAUAUAGAUAACUUGAUUAUGCAUUUCUGUAUUCUUCUUGAUCAUCUGUUAGGUAAGAUUAGGUAUGUUCUUUUAUUUUGAAUUCAUCUCUUAGGUACCACACCAUUGCUUUAGGUAUGUUCUUUUAUUUUGAAUUCAUCUCUUAGGUACCACACCAUUGCUAUCCGUCUUGUCUUCAGGUAAUAAUCAUGUAUUUGUGUCUCAUUCUUUUAUUUCCCAACAUUAUUUUCAAGUGAUCAAACUUACUUGUUCGUCCGAGUCUUUUUGCAGGUACCUCCUCACCCAUUACAGGUAAUGUUCUUCUAUUGUCUCUUUUCAUUUGGUUUUUACAAUAUAUGCAAACUCAUUGUUUUAUUAUAAAUACUAAAUACUACAUAAAUAUUAAUUAUGCCAGAAUGCUACUUUCCAAAUACAGUAUGUGGUUGACUUCUGCAGUUUGUUUUGAGCUGUUUCUGGAACUUUAUUUUUUAUAUACUAAGUUGCUUUAGGGAUAAGGGUGCUUGACCAAGUGCACAUUAACUCAUUGCUAUCUCUAUCUCGUUCUUGUUUAGGAAAAUCUUGUCCUUAAGGCUAACCUUUUCAAUGUACUACUAAUGGAUAGCCGAUUAAUCAUGUUCUAUCAUGUGUCAAAUUUGUCAAAUCUCUGUCUGUUGACGCUGUAAGGCAUGCAAUUGGGUACAUCUUCCGAGGCUGUAUUCAAACUUAGGAGAGCUAGCUCUCAACCCAUAUGAUCAACCCAACAUCACUGGUGAAAGCUUCUACCCAACCAAGUUCAGCUCAACUGAAGGCUAGCAGAUAAGUAGUCACACUCACAAACAGAAUAAAUAAGCAUCUCUUUGCAUACACUAAGACUAUGCUUGUUUGCAUUUCCCAGGAAUAACCACAUGUCUUCUACUUGUUUGCAUUUUCAUUGUAUGUGACUAUUGCUAGCAAUUUUGCAGGGAUAGGGAGACUUUUGAUUUGGGUGGCUAGCCAUGCUCAACCACCUGCUAAAUUGUUCAAGAACCAAAAAUUCCCCAAUUUAUUCUAUUGGAAGCAUAAUCUGGUCUUCAACUCCAACUGUGAGUGGAUGAGUGUCAUUGACAUGGGGCCUGCUGGAACAUUGGAAACGAGUAGAGGGUGAAUAUUUACGGUCAAGCUGAAGUAGCUCCCCUAUUGAAUCUGCUAAUUGAUGCUGAAGUAGGCUGGUUUGACAAACCUGACAACACUGUCGGUUCGUUAACUCCAGGCAUCAUCAGCGAUACUGCCAUGUUCGAAAUCAUAAUUUCUGAGCUCAUGUUUAUGAUUGUGCAGUGUGUUUAGCAUGUUAAUCAACUAAAGAAUGUGUUUGGUGGCAUGGGCUGUGAUACUUUUCCACUUCAUAGGUGGUCGGUCUCAGUCAAGCCAAGUCUGUCAAAGGAUUUUCAGGCGACUACUCUGCUACACAUUCAGACCUUGUUGCUAUUGCAUUUGAAUCAACAACCAACAUAAGAACUUUAGCAUCAUUUUGUCAUGAAGAACAAAUACUGAAGAAAGUCAUAACAUAUCUGGACAUUCCAAAGAAAAGUACAAGAAAAUAUCAGAUAUGGGAUCAUCCAAGUUGUGGAACAUUGCACACGUCGUUGCUUUGUGGUACGCUACAAUUCUUGAGAGACAUGAAGCCUCUUUUGAAAAUGGAAUAAGAGCAUACCAAAUAUCUUCUCACAGUUCCUUCUAUCACAUGAUUAUACACACUGAUCCCUUCCCAACUGUCAUCACUGCCAUCAAUAUGCUAAUUCCAGCAUUCAAAACCCUUGACCGCAUAACUGAAAUUGAACCGGAUAUACUGGACGACUCACAAUCCGAGAAGAUAGAAGGAACUGUCGAAUUUGAUAAUGUAAAUUUCAAGUGAUAUUGAAACGUGUUUAUUAUACCCUUUUUAUUAAGUGAAACAAAGAAAUUAGUAGUA